rnacentral:sRNA from 1 species
AAAAUGCUGCUGCUGCUGCUGCAGCUGCUGCUGCUGCUGCAGCUGCUGCUGCUGCAGCUGCUGCUGCUGCUGCAGCUGCUGCUGCUGCAGCUGCUGCUGCAGCUGCUGCUGCUGCUGCUGCUGCAGCUGCUGCUGCUGCAGCUGCUGCUGCUGCAGCUGCUGUUGCUGCUGCAGCAGCUGCUGAUGCUGCAGCAGCAGCUGUUGCUGCUGCAGCAGCAGCAGCUGCUGCUGCUGCUG